GGUGGAAAAGGUAACGCUGUCCAAAGAUGUAGUUCCUGCAAUGGAAAUGGUAUCAAAGUAAGUUUUCAACAGUUAGCUCCAGGAAUGGUUCAGCAAAUUCAAAAAGUUUGCUCAGACUGCAAUGGCGAAGGAGAAGUUAUUGAUGCUAAAAACAGAUGUAAAAAGUGUCUCGG
rnacentral:lncRNA from 1 species